UAGGGAAUCUUCGGCAAUGGGGGCAACCCUGACCGAGUAACGCCGCGUGAGUGAAGAAGGUUUUCGGAUCGUAAAGCUCUGUUGUAAGAGAAGAACGUGUGUGAGAGUGGAAAGUUCACACAGUGACGGUAACUUACCAGAAAGGGACGGCUAACUACGUGCCAG
rnacentral:rRNA from 1 species